AGUGAAGCGGCAACAGCUCAAAUUUGAAAUCUGGCCCUAGGCCCGAGUUGUAAUUUGCAGAGGAUGCUUUUGGUGAGGUGCCUUCCAAGUUCCCUAGAACGGGACGCCAGAGAGGGUGAGAGCCCCGUACAGUUGGACACCAAGCCUUUGUAAAGCUCCUUCGACGAGUCGAGUAGUUUGGGAAUGCUGCUCAAAAUGGGAGGUAUAUUUCUUCUAAAGCUAAAUACCGGCCAGAGACCGAUAGCGCACAAGUAGAGUGAUCGAAAGAUGAAAAGCACUUUGAAAAGAGGGUUAAACAGCACGUGAAAUUGUUAAAAGGGAAGCGCUUGUGACCAGACUUGCGUCCGGUGAAUCACCCAGCUCUCGCGGCUGGGGCACUUCGCCGGCUCAGGCCAGCAUCAGCUCGCUGUCGGGGACAAAAGCUUCAGGAACGUAGCUCUCUUCGGGGAGUGUUAUAGCCUGUUGCAUAAUACCCUUCGGCGGGCUGAGGUACGCGCUCCGCAAGGAUGCUGGCAUAAUGGUCAUCAGCGAC
rnacentral:rRNA from 1 species